rnacentral:rRNA from 1 species
UACGAGGGGGGCAAGCGUUGUUCGGAAUUAUUGGGCGUAAAGGGCGCGUAGGCGGUGCGGUAAGUCACCUGUGAAAACUCUGGGCUCAACUCAGAGCCUGCAGGCGAAACUGCCGUGCUUGAGUGUGGGAGAGGUGCGUGGAAUUCCCGGUGUAGCGGUGAAAUGCGCAGAUAUCGGGAGGAACACCUGUGGCGAAAGCGGCGCACUGGACCACAACUGACGCUGAGGCGCGAAAGCUAGGGGAGCAAACGGG